rnacentral:lncRNA from 1 species
UUCAUGAUCUUUUAAUCUUUUUUUAGAUGUACUAUCCAAGGGUUGUUUGUUUGUUUGUUUGAGAUGGCCUAAAAGUAUUGGAAACAAGGAAGCAACUGGAUGAAAAAGGCUAUGUUCACAAAGCAUGCUACAUCGGGUCAUGUGAAAAGGGAAUUCCGUGGAAGUUUGUUGCACCUGACAGAAUAAAAGCUGAUUCUCUGAUGAAACAUCAAUUUUUAUAAGAAAAGCCCUCAUUUCUGUGACAAAGCCAGCAAAAUGUCAACUCUUUUCAAUUGAUGAAGACUGGAUAACUUACAGGUCAGCACAAAACAAGGAAAACAGUUUUCUUUCAGUCUUGGGACAACAUUCAGUUUUCUCUAAUAAGUUGAGAAACAUCCUUUGAAGUUGAGAAGUGGCCAGACCAACAACUGGAUGGAGGAAAAGCUGCUUUGAUGCUUCAGCUGGUGGAGCAAGUUGAUUUAUCUUCAUUGCAUUAAUAAACAUAAUUUCAUUUAGUGAAUCA